GGAAGUGUAGUUUAUAUUUAAGAGAAUGGUACUUUUGUAAAGUAUUGGUGUUGUAUGUGGCGGCUUCUU
rnacentral:tRNA from 1 species